rnacentral:rRNA from 1 species
GAUGAACGCUAGCGGCAGGCCUAACACAUGCAAGUCGAGGGGCAGCACAGAAACAGCAAUGUUUUGGUGGCGACCGGCGGACGGGUGCGUAACGCGUAUGCAACCUACCUUUAACAGGGGGAUAACGGAGAGAAAUUUCCACUAAUACCCCAUAACAUCGAACAAGGCAUCUUGAUUGGUUGAAAACUCCGGUGGGUAAAGACAGGCAUGCGUUGUAUUAGGUAGUUGGGGAGGUAAUGGCUCACCAAGCCUACGAUACAUAGGGGGACUGAGAGGUUAGCCCCCCACACUGGUACUGAGACACGGACCAGACUCCUACGGGAGGCAGCAGUGAGGAAUAUUGGUCAAUGGGGGCAACCCUGAACCAGCCAUGCCGCGUGCAGGAAGACGGCUCUAUGAGUUGUAAACUGCUUUUAAACAGGGAUAAAGCACAGUAUGUAUACUGUGUUGAAGGUACUGUAAGAAUAAGGAUCGGCUAACUCCGUGCCAGCCGCCGCGGUAA